UCGGCAGCUAUAAUGCAAGUCGAGCGAACAGAUGAGAAGCUUGCUUCUCUGAUGUUAGCGGCGGACGGGUGAGUAACACGUGGGUAACCUACCUAUAAGACUGGGAUAACUCCGGGAAACCGGGGCUAAUACCGGAUAAUAUAUUGAACCGCAUGGUUCAAUGUUGAAAGACGGUUUCGGCUGUCACUUAUAGAUGGACCCGCGCCGUAUUAGCUAGUUGGUAAGGUAACGGCUUACCAAGGCAACGAUACGUAGCCGACCUGAGAGGGUGAUCGGCCACACUGGAACUGAGACACGGUCCAGACUCCUACGGGAGGCAGCAGUAGGGAAUCUUCCGCAAUGGGCGAAAGCCUGACGGAGCAACGCCGCGUGAGUGAUGAAGGUCUUAGGAUCGUAAAACUCUGUUGUUAGGGAAGAACAAAUUUGUUAGUAACUGAACAAGUCUUGACGGUACCUAACCAGAAAGCCACGGCUAACUACGUGCCAGCAGCCGCGGUAAUACGUAGGUGGCAAGCGUUAUCCGGAAUUAUUGGGCGUAAAGCGCGCGUAGGCGGUUUCUUAAGUCUGAUGUGAAAGCCCACGGCUCAACCGUGGAGGGUCAUUGGAAACUGGGGAACUUGAGUGCAGAAGAGGAGAGUGGAAUUCCAUGUGUAGCGGUGAAAUGCGCAGAGAUAUGGAGGAACACCAGUGGCGAAGGCGGCUCUCUGGUCUGUAACUGACGCUGAUGUGCGAAAGCGUGGGGAUCAAACAGGAUUAGAUACCCUGGUAGUCCACGCCGUAAACGAUGAGUGCUAAGUGUUAGGGGGUUUCCGCCCCUUAGUGCUGCAGCUAACGCAUUAAGCA
rnacentral:rRNA from 2 species